GGGUAAAUCAUUUCAGCCUCCCCAAUCGCCUUCAUCUCUAUUCUCGUUCUCAACUCGGCCCUCUCUAUGUCUCUGCAACUGCGACAAUACUUUAGGGUAAAUCAUUUCAGCCUCCCCAAUCGCCUUCAUCUCUAUUGUCGUUCUCAACUCGGCCCUCUCUCAGUCUCUAAAACUGCAAAGUACAAAAUCUACAAGAAUCAGAACCCAUCUCGGCAUAUCAUUUCAGAUUGUUCAAAAAAUCAAAACCUAUAUCCUUUAGUUUCCGUCGCCCGCUGUUCUAAUUCGGGUUCGACGUUCUCAAGCUUCAGUCUCUGGCCUGCUGUCUCUCAACUCUCAAGCCCUCUCUCUGCAACUGCUAACUUGCUUUGAAAGAGUAAUUGGUAAAUUUGGGUUAAAUUCGAGUCUUGAACAAGCUGAGUUAUACAGAUAAGUAAUUUCUUCAAUUAUUCAACAUCAAUAUUUUUAGGGCAAAUCAUUUCAGCCUCCCCAAUCGUCUCCAUCUCUAUUCUCGUUCUCGACUCUGAACUUGCCCUCUCUCUCUCUGCAACUGCAAACUACAAAAUCUACAAGAAUCAGAAGUUCAAAACCCAUAUAAUUUAGUUUAUUUAUCUCUUCAACCGCUGGCCCUCUGUCUCUCAACUCUCAAGCCCCUCUUUCUGUAACUGCUAACUUGUAUGUAUGGGUUUUGUUUUAAUUUUUUUUAAUUUUUUUUUUUCUGAAUCAGUUAAUCAAGGUCUGUAAUUCUUGUUUUGCAAACUAAAUACUAUUUGGUGAAAUUUUUUCAUGAUCUUUUUUUAUUAUUUUAUGAAUUUUAGUUAUAAAUGUCUGUAAUUCUUGUUUUGCAAACUAAAUCCUAUUUGGUCAUUCCAGGUAUUGCAGAUUUUUAAGCUUGUAAACAGGUUCUUUCAUUAUGUCUGGACGUGCUGAGAGCAGCCGAGAUGAUUUUAUUACAUUACAUGCACAAGAUGAUGGGUGGACUUUCAAAAUUUGUUGACAUUGCACUUUAUAACUAUGGCAUAUGCCACAGGAUCUACUUUAACCAACUUGUUAGUAAAACAAAACCGUUACUUUUGAAGUAAGAUUAGGAGCAUAGUUUUGGUUCUCAAUCUUCAUCUCUGGCAGGUGUUCGUCAGGAGUAGAGGUUGUUCGUGCUGAGCGGGGAUUAGUUUACUUCAUUCUUCCGAUGCUACAUAGGAGUUCCUUUAUGAUUAAGUUUCCUGAUUUAGACAGUUAUUGUUGCCAUUUGUUUAGUUUGGAUUUUCUAGGGGUCCACACAUUAUGGAUUCUCGAGUUGUAUUUUGGAGGAUCAGUUGUAUCAGAAGAGUUUAUUAAUUAAUGGAAAUAUAUUAUGAGGUUUAUUAUUAGAUUAUCA